UUGGGCAUAGCACUGAAAGUCAUAGUAGGUUAUGUUGACUGAUAUAUUGAAACAAUAACCUCUAUUGCUAUGAUUAUAGUACAUGUUUAGCUUGUCAAUACAACUGCAUUUCUUUAUUUUUACUGAAUUCUAGUUUCGUUUGACCCUCUCCAAUAAUUAAUGUCAUUUCAUUUUACAAAUUAUUGGAAUUUUAUGUCUUUAAUGAAUACAUUAUUGCAUUUCCCCUUUUAUAUUUAGAUAAAGAUUUUGUGCUUAGUCCAGAAAGCCAUAGUAGGUUAUGUAGACUGGUAGUUUACAGUUACAUAUAAGAUUUUGUGCUUAGUCCAGAAAGCCAUAGUAGGUUAUGUAGACUGAUACUUUACAGCUACAUAUUAGAUUUUGUGCAUAGCUCUAAUAGCCAUAGUAAGUUAUGGGACUGGUACAUGUACAUUUAGAGGUAAGCAACAUUGACAAAUUCAUGUAUGUUCCUCUGUCAUGUCAU